AUGCAGGAUGUCAUUGAGAGGUCAUUUUAAGACAGGAUGUAGAAAUAGAAAUAAUAAUAAUAAUAAUGUUGUUAUUAUUAUUAUUGGUGCAUUUAAGUGCAGCAGAAACCAAAGUUACAGAGUGUAAUAGUUGCCUCUGUGCUCAGCUGUUUUGUUUUUGCUGGUGUUAACUUCCCUGCUGCUCACUGUUGUGGCUCCUUGUCCGUGAACAUGUACUCUUUCUGGUACAGUUUCUGGUCGACUUCCUCUAAAGGUGUGAAGGGAAGCUGCCUCUGCCCCAUGAUUCCAGUGUGUGACUUGUAAAAAUCAAUCAUAUGAUAAGACACUUCCUCUUGGUUUCAGAAAGCACUUUUUUGCCCAGAAACAGUGUGUGUGUGUGUGUGUGGGUGGGGGGUGGUAACUUGUUUACAGCUCACUCACCGCUCACCAGAAGAAAAGACAUCGCACCACAACUUGGCAGAGUGAAAGUGCGCAGCAUUCUGCCGGUGAGUUCUCGGGGUUUAAAAAUACAGUCAGCGAGCAGCCUGAAGCUCCGCGGCUCGGUCUUGAGGAAGUUCCUCAGGGUACAGAGUCAGGAGUCAACGUCUAACCCUGCCCUGCAGCUCGGCUCUGUUGAUCUGGAAAGGGCAACUUGGAUGAAGGGUAAAGAAUCCAUCUACAUAAACACAGGCAACAAGAAUGAAUAUGUAGGAAACACAUUAAGGCUGGUGGCUAUGUGAACAACACACAAAACUCACAAACCCAAGCUGCGGAACGUAAAAACAACAACACUGCACAAUAGAGUACAGACACACACCCAUAACACCCACAUGGCACCCACACACAUAAAGAGUCUCACACAUCACAGCAUGAGAGUGGGGGGAUGCUGGCUUCACUUCGCCUGGAUCUUAUGCUUCUAUUCAGCAGCUAAUUCUCCAGUGCUGGGAUUUUAAAGAGCCUGACCAGCCACCUGCAACCAGGCUGAGAGGAGGAGACGAGGGAGGAGGGGAGAGUAGGUGGACAGGAGAGGAGGAGUAAGAGGAGGAGGAGGAGGCAACGCUGAAAGACUGACAUCACCUUCCCUGAAAUGUCACCAUUAUCUCAAGCCUUAGCUUAGCCGUCUAAAAGGGUGACAUCAUCUCUUGUCUUCGCCCCUCCUCCCCCUGUUCUCUGGCGGGCUUGUGUGUGCAGUGAGGGAGUGUGUUUGUUUGUGUGCAUGUAGCCCAGCGAGAGUGUGCGUGUGCGUGUGCGUGCGCAGGAGAAAAGCCUUAUCAAAAGAGACACAACACAAGCAUGAGUGGAUGUUUGUCUGCGCCGCUGCUUUCAUACCAUUGUACCAGUGGAAAGUAAAAGCUGCUCCACUGACACUUGUAAACAGGCUUUUUGCUUCAUUUGGUCUGAAUCCAGAUCUGUUUCUUUGUAGUGCUGAGAAAAAAAAGAUAUUUGUUGGCUCACUCUUUGUGUUACUGUUCAACACAGCUACACUAUUGUUAUCCAUAAUAAACAAGUUAUCCUGAAACGUGAGGUCAUCUACACGAACGUCCUGAUUUGGUCAUAGCUAGGACUCGGAUGAAGAGAGAUAGACGUGUCAUAUAAGGACAGUAACCGUUUCUCUGAUCUGAGGUUUAUAUUCAAACACGCUGACACGUCUUCUUGUCCUGUUCACUGUCCCUGUAGUACACGGCAUAAUAAAUGUCCUUGUGCCACUGUAGAUGGUUCUACCGUUGUCUCCUCUCUGGUGGAAUCAGGCUUUGUCUCUCUGUUGGCUCUACACAGGCUCUGCAGCAAUGACACAAAUCAAACAAAUAUAUUGGAUAUCUACAAAGUGUUUUUGUACAAAUGAGAUGCACGCUGUUAUGGUGGGAGUCGAGGACAGACCAGGACACUUCUUCAUCCUGGAGUGAAUCUAAUUCAUUAGCCAUGCUUCUUUUCAAAGUGAGUAGAGUCAGUUAGGGAGCGUGAACACUUUCUUCUUUUCUUCAUAUGUACACACACACACACACACACAUAAUACAGUUUAGGACGGUGGUUUCCAAACAGAGUGUUUGCAGGGGAGCGGGGGAGACUGGACAAAAAUUUAAGGAACCAUUGCCUUUGUAGUUACCAAUUUAAGACAGGAUGACAAACAAAACCAUGUGACGUCUGCAGUCUGAUUUUGGCCACAGAUUUUUAUUUCCCAUUUCUCCGUCUUCCCAUAUCUGUAGACUACUCUCUCUCUCUCUUUUUCAAAACCUUGUUUACAAGUCACCGCCUCGCCCAGAUAUAAACAAACCAUUUAAACAACUUAUCCCCCAUCUCUUCGUGCCCUGGUCCAGUCUUCAGUGAGGUCUCAGUGGACCAGCGUGAGGACUGGCCUGUGUCGUGUUAUCACACCAUCUGAUGCCCUGGGCAGCUGUCACAAACCACCAGGGCCUGCCACCUCUGCUAUCGCCGCCAUUUGUAAGUGUCCCAGUGCUUGCUCAAUACCUUGACUGAAUGGUGGUCCAUGAAUUGUUAAUUUAGCCUGAGUAAAAGGAGCAGUGGUGACAAGUACCAGUGUCAUCUCAACUCAAUGGCCUCAGUUUGAAGAGAGAGAGAUCGUAUCUCAGAACUCAGUGACGCAGGUGUAAUUGGAUCACGUGUGGUUUUAAAUGAGUGGCUCGGCUUUAUACAAGUUAAAUUUAAAUGUAUGGAGGUGUUUAAUUAGCAUCUAAAUAACGUAUUAUACUUUGUAAAAAAUAAAGUUGUCUGACAUAUCCUUCACUGCCUGAAAAGUCCUGCGUCUACACGAAAACAAUGUUUUCGCUGUUGUUUUCAUCUUGUUUUUCCACCUGUAAUGAAAACAAAAGCAAGACGUGGCUGAGAAGUUUUAAGUUACUGCAGAUGAAAAAAAAAAUAACGUCACAUAUUCAGGCAUCUGUGACAGGUGUACCGCAUGACCUGCACCUUCCUGUCAGCGUUAGUCAUCUGGUCAACAACAUCAGCGCACCAUUCAGAGAACACGUAAAG